rnacentral:rRNA from 1 species
UACGGGGGGAGCAAGCGUUGUUCGGAUUUACUGGGCGUAAAGGGCGCGUAGGCGGUCGUGACAAGUCACUUGUGAAAUCUCCGGGCUUAACUCGGAACGGUCAAGUGAUACUGUCGGACUAGAGUACAGAAGGGGCAACCGGAAUUCUCGGUGUAGCGGUGAAAUGCGUAGAUAUCGAGAGGAACACCUGCGGCGAAGGCGGGUUGCUGGGCUGAUACUGACGCUGAGGCGCGAAAGCCAGGGGAGCGAACGGG